UUAAGAAUUUUUAAAAUCAUUUUACAUGUGAUUGGAUACAAAGGAGACUUUUGGUUACAUUAAAGGAAGGGUCAUUCGAGAGAAGUAAACAAAUGAGAAAAUGAUGUAUCGAAAUUGUGUAGUCACUUUUAAUUUCAUUUCUACUUGAAAUUGAUCGGCAGCAGAUGUCAAUAAAUUAUGAAGUUAUGGCGAAAGUCGGCACCAUCACCUAAGAUAUUUAAUA
rnacentral:lncRNA from 1 species